rnacentral:rRNA from 1 species
AGCAAUCUGCCUUGGAGUGGGGAAUAACGGCUGGAAACAGCCGCUAAUACCGCAUGAAGCAGCUGGGAGGCAUCUCCCUGGCUGCCAAAGAUUUAUCGCUCUGAGAUGAGCUCGCGUCUGAUUAGCUGGUUGGCGGGGUAACGGCCCACCAAGGCGACGAUCAGUAGCCGGACUGAGAGGUUGGCCGGCCACAUUGGGACUGAGACACGGCCCAGACUCCUACGGGAGGCAGCAG